rnacentral:rRNA from 1 species
UACGAGGGGGCUAGCGUUGCUCGGAAUCACUGGGCGUAAAGGGUGCGUAGGCGGGUCUUUAAGUCAGGGGUGAAAUCCUGGAGCUCAACUCCAGAACUGCCUUUGAUACUGAGGAUCUUGAGUUCGGGAGAGGUGAGUGGAACUGCGAAGUGUAGAGGUGAAAUUCGUAGAUAUUCGCAAGAACACCAGUGGCGAAGGCGGCUCACUGGCCCGAUACUGACGCUGAGGCACGAAAGCGUGGGGAGCAACAGG